GAUUAAGUCUUCCUUGGCCUGAAAUGAGAUCCUUGUUUCCUUGCGCGGGAAGUUUCUGGCAGCCCCCACACUGACGAGGAAGAGAGGAACCUCCGUUUUCUUAUGUCAUUCAGCUCAGCCAGGCCCUGAGCAGAGCCAAUAAUGGCCACUGGAUAUAUCUGUAAUGAAGAUGUGUUGAACAGAGCAAAGCAUCCAGCGCUAGGGCUGAUGGUUACUGUGGCAACCAUAUAACUCAAGAAGAAAGUGGCAAGAGGAGACGGCCAUUUUGGGUAUGAUUAAAUAGCUCCAGUAGCCGCUGGUCUUGCAUAAUCUUCAGGCAGUAACCUGGACUCUGAAAACCCACAACAGCAGGCAUAACAACCUGAUUCAUGGCCGACACAUCCUCUCUAUCCCUCCAGUUUCUCAGUCCCUCCUUCCAUCCCCCAACAUCUGCAGCAGUGGGCUGCUCCUUUUGUUUUGCUUAGUGACGUCCCGUGGGCUAUUUAUAGGGACAUGUGUUAUUGUGUAAGAUCUAUUGAAAUGCCCAAAGAGCAUGUGCAGGCAUGUUCCCUAUGGUGGCCCCAACUUCUGCAAGAGGAAAGAUAGAAAAGCGUGUCGCUCUAAUAUCAAUGAGUUGGAGAAGGAAACAGUUUAUAGAAUAAGCUCUAUGAUUAUCUUACAUUUGACCUCAGUACUAUUUUACUUUCCACCAUGCUUUAAUUAUAACGUCCAGACUUCAGUUUGAGAUCUUGGUGAUCAGUUUUAGAGCUCUGCAUGGUCAAAUGGCAGCUUACAAUAGUGAACUCUUGCACACAUAUGUAACAUGCAGGUCUUGGUGGUGGUUCCUCAUACUACAGUGAAAACUAAAGGAAAUAUUACCAUUAUGUUUGAGA